CGGGACGGGUGAGUAAUGCUUGGGAAUCUGGCUUAUGGAGGGGGAUAACUACGGGAAACUGUAGCUAAUACCGCGUAGUAUCGGAAGAUGAAAGUGCGGGACCGUAAGGCCGCAUGCCAUGGGAUGAGCCCAAGUGGGAUUAGGUAGUUGGUGGGGUAAAGGCCUACCAAGCCUGCGAUCUCUAGCUGGUCUGAGAGGAUGGCCAGCCACACUGGAACUGAGACACGGUCCAG
rnacentral:rRNA from 1 species